rnacentral:misc_RNA from 1 species
GAUGAAGAACGCAGUGAAAUGCGAUAAGUAGUGUGAAUUGCAGAAUUCAGUGAAUCAUCGAAUCUUUGAACGCACAUUGCGCCCCUUGGUAUUCCGAGGGGCAUGCCUGUUCGAGCGUCAUUAUCACCCCUCAAGCUUUGCUUGGUGUUGGGGCCUGCUGUAAUAGGCAGCCCUUAAAAUCAGUGGCGGUGCUUCAAGGCUCUAAGCGUAGUAAUUCUCCUCGCUAUAGUGUCUAGUGGUUGCCAGCCAGAACCCCCCAAUUUUCAUGAUUGACCUCGGAUCAGGUAGGGAUACCCGCUGAACUUAAGCAUAUCAAUAAGCGGAGGA